rnacentral:rRNA from 1 species
AUGGGUAGCAGAUGCAGCUCCCCUUUAAGAAGUACCGCCUGCGCAGCCUACGCACAUGGAUGGCGAGGGCGUCGUCGCGGAGGACCGGUCGGGAGCUGUAGCAUCGGGUGUGGCCAUGCUGGAAGCUUGGCCGUGCAUACAACUGUCAGGCUCGCCGGGGAGCAGCCACAGGUCAAGCCGAAGGGCUUCGACACACGCGGUCGCGCGCCGACAAUGACACGCGCUGCUGAGGACGGCAUGCAACGUCACGCUGCGAUGCCGCGCCGGGAUGAGCGGCGUCGUGGCCUAGGGCCUCCGCCGCGCGAGUUAGGUCAAGCCGAAGGGCUUCUCAACACGCCGUCGUACGCCGACAACGACGUGCGCUGCUCAUGA